GAUGAAGAACGUAGCGAAUUGCGAUAAGUAAUGUGAAUUGCAGAAUUCAGUGAAUCAUCGAAUCUUUGAACGCACAUUGCGCCCCUUGGUAUUCCGGGGGGCAUGCCUGUUCGAGCGUCAUUUCAACCCUCAAGCUUCUGCUUGGUCUUGGGCCGUGCCGGCAACGGCUGGCCUUAAAACUAGUGGCGGUGCCAUCGAGCUCUACGCGUAGUAAUUCUAUCUCGCGUCUGGGCUUCGGUGGACGCUGGCCAGCAACCCCCAAUUUUCUAUGGUUGACCUCGGAUCAGGUAGGGAUACCCGCUGAACUUAAGCAUAUCAAUAAGCGGAGGA
rnacentral:misc_RNA from 1 species